rnacentral:rRNA from 1 species
UACGUAGGUGGCAAGCGUUGUCCGGAUUUACUGGGCGUAAAGCGUGGGCAGGCGGACAUUUAAGUAAGAAGUGAAAGGUUGGAGCUCAACUCUAACACUGCUCCUUAUACUGGGUGUCUUGAGUGACGGAGAGGAAAGCGGAACUACACGUGUAGCGGUGAAAUGCGUUGAGAUGUGUAGGAACACCGAUGGCGAAAGCAGCUUUCUGGACGUAUACUGACGCUCAUCCACGAAAGCCAAGGUAGCGAACAGG